GAUGAACGCUAGCGGCAGGCCUAAUACAUGCAAGUCGGACGGGAGUCCGGAGCUUGCUUCUGCUUAGGGUGGGCCACGGGUGCGUAGCACGUAUGUAACCUACCUUUAUCAUGGGGAUAGGCUCUCGCGAGAGGGAUCAAGCGCGCAUAACACAUCAGCACAGCGUUUUGUAGUGAUCAAAUAUUUAUCGUUUAAAGAUGGACAUGCGUAACAUUAGCUAGAUGGCGUGGUAACGUCCAACCAUAGCGACGAUGCUUAGGGGAUCUGAGAGGAUGGCACACCACACUGGAACUGAGACACAGACCAGAACCGUACGCGAGGCAGCAGUAAGGAAUACAAAGCAAGGAGCGGAAGCCUGAACCAGCCACGCCGCGUGAAGAAAGACGGCCCUACGAGUGGUAAACUGCUUGGAUACGAGAAUAACCGCAGAUACGCGUAUCUGGCUGACGGUACUGUAAGAAUAAGGAUCGGCUAACUCCGUG
rnacentral:rRNA from 1 species